rnacentral:rRNA from 1 species
CUGCAACUCGACUCCAUGAAGUCGGAAUCGCUAGUAAUCGUAGAUCAGAAUGCUACGGUGAAUACGUUCCCGGGCCUUGUACACACCGCCCGUCACACCAUGGGAGUGGGUUGCAAAAGAAGUAGGUAGCUUAACCUUCGGGAGGGCGCUUACCACUUUGUGAUUCAUGACUGGGGUGAAGUCGUAACAAGGUAACCGUAGGGGAACCUGCGGUUGGAUCACCUCCUUACCUUAAAGAA